rnacentral:rRNA from 2 species
UUUCAUGAGAGUUUGAUCCUGGCUCAGGACGAACGCUGGCGGCGUGCCUAAUACAUGCAAGUCGAACGAACGGAGAUAAGAACUUGUUCUUAUCAAAGUGAGUGGCGCACGGGUGAGUAACACGUGGGAAACCUACCCUUCAGCGGGGGAUAACAGUCGGAAACGAUUGCUAAUACCGCAUAG